GGUCGGUCAGGCCACCGCGGCGUCGUAGGCGUCGAGGAAAGUCCGGGCUCCGCAGAGCAGGAUGGUGGGUAACGCCCACUCGAGGUAACUCGCAGGCCAGUGCCACAGAAAGCAGACCGCCGGUGCCGAACACGUCGAUGUGCGGUGCCGGUAAGGGUGAAACGGUGGUGUAAGAGACCACCAGCGCGUCGGGUGACCGACGCGGCUCGGCAAACCCCAUCCGGUGCAAGGUCGAACAGGAUGUGAUCGAGGGCUGCUCGCCCGAGCAUCCGGGUUGACCGCUUGAGGUGCGCGGCAACGCGUCACCCAGAUAGAUGGUGGCCGUCAUGCCGGAAUCGCCGGCAUGGCACAGAACCCGGCUUAUCGACCGGCCCGU
rnacentral:RNase_P_RNA from 1 species